rnacentral:rRNA from 1 species
GACGAACGCUGGCGGCGUGCUUAACACAUGCAAGUCGAACGGAAAGGCCCUGCUUUUGUGGGGUGCUCGAGUGGCGAACGGGUGAGUAACACGUGAGUAACCUGCCCUUGACUUUGGGAUAACUUCAGGAAACUGGGGCUAAUACCGGAUAGGAGCUCCUGCUGCAUGGUGGGGGUUGGAAAGUUUCGGCGGUUGGGGAUGGACUCGCGGCUUAUCAGCUUGUUGGUGGGGUAGUGGCUUACCAAGGCUUUGACGGGUAGCCGGCCUGAGAGGGUGACCGGCCACAUUGGGACUGGGAUACGGCCCAGACUCCUACGGGAGGCAGCAGUGGGGAAUAUUGCACAAUGGGCUGAAGCCUGAUGCAGCAACGCCGCGUGCGGGAUGACGGCCUUCGGGUUGUAAACCGCUUUCGCCUGUGACGAAGCGUGAGUGACGGUAAUGGGUAAAGAAGCACCGGCUAACUACGUG